AAGGCUGAGAAGAACCUCGGCGGAUGGGCCCUUUUCGGCUCCAAAUACAAAGACGCCGCUGAUCUGUUCGAUAAAGAUGGCAACUACUUUAAACUCGCCAAAUCAUGGGAUAAAGCUGGAGCAGUAUAUGUUAAAUUCGGCUAAUUGUCAUCUUUAGUUGGAUAGCAAACAUGAGGCUGCAAAUGCUGCUCGUUACUACAAGAAGUCAAAUAUUAAAGGAAAGUCACUUGAAAGUGGUUAUGUUGCAUCUGCAGACUGCACCAUCAAGUAUUCCGUUAAAGAAAGAAAAUGGUUGAGAUACUACUGAUCGAACAAGGGUAUCCAAUGCCAACUUUCAAGGAAAGGCAAUUCAACAACAAUCAGUUUUGAUCAAUUGAGUUGAGAGUUCUGCAAUAAAAAGCACAACCUGGAAUAAAAUGCAGUAACUAAGGUUCUGGAUUGAUUGUUGGAAGGACACAUAUGUUUUUCUGCACACAUUGUAAAGAGCAUGUAUAGAAACACUCGGGAUAAUUUUUAUUCAAUAUCCAUUUUUAUCAGUCUACAGUAAUUGUUAAGUA